rnacentral:rRNA from 1 species
UGAGGAAUAUUGGUCAAUGGGCGCAAGCCUGAACCAGCCAUGCCGCGUGCAGGAUGACGGUCCUAUGGAUUGUAAACUGCUUUUGUACGGGAAGAAACACUCCUACGUGUAGGAGCCUGACGGUACCGUAAGAAUAAGGAUCGGCUAACUCCGUG